rnacentral:rRNA from 1 species
AUUGAACGCUGGCGGCAGGCCUAACACAUGCAAGUCGAACGAGUGGCGGACGGGUGAGUAAUGUCUGGGAAACUGCCUGAUGGAGGGGGAUAAAUACUGGAAACGGUAGCUAAUACCGCAUACCAUCGGAUGUGCCCAGAUGGGAUUAGCUAGUAGGUGGGGUAACGGCUCACCUAGGCGACGAUCCCUAGCUGGUCUGAGAGGAGGACCAGCCACACUGGAACUGAGAAACGGUCCAGACUCAUACGGGAGGCAGCAGUGGGGAAUAUUGAAAAAUGGGCGCAAGCCUGAUGCAGCCAUGCCGCGUGUAUGAAGAAGGCCUUCGGGUUGUAAAGUACUUUAAGCGGGGAGGCGUUACCCGCAGAAGAAGCAACGGCUAACUCCGUGCCAGCAGCCGCGGUAAUUC